AACGGGGGUACCAUCGUGCUACAAUGCAGUCGAACGCUCACUCUUCUCUCUUUGCCUGGUGUCGAGAGUGGAGAACGGUUGAGUAAUGCGUGACCGACCUGCCCCAUGCACCCCCCUAGCUCCUGGAAACGGUUGGUAAUGCCGGAUGCUCCAUCACACCGCAUGGUGUGUUGGGAAAGCCUUUGCUUGAUGGGAUGGGGUCGCGUCCUAUCAGCUUGAUGGCGGGGUAACGGCCCACCAUGGCUUCGACGGGUAGCCGGCCUGAGAGGGCGACCGGCCCCAUUGGGACUGAUAUACGGCCCAGACUCCUACGGGAGGCAGCAGUGAGUAAUAUUGCACAUUGGGCGCUAGCCUGAUGCAUCGACGCCGCGUGAGGCAUGGAGGCCUUCGGGUUGUAAACCUCUUUUGUUAGGGAGCAAGGCACUUUGUGUUGAGUGUACCUUUCUUAUAAUAACCGGCUACCUACGUGCCACCAGCCGCGGUAAUACGUAGGGAGCUAGCGUUAUCCGGAAUUAUUGGGAGUUAAGGGCUCGUAGGUGGCUCGUCUCAUCGGGUGUGAAAGUCCAUCGCUUAACGUUGGAUCCGCGCCGGAUACGCCCCGGGCUCGACUGCGGCAGGGAAUACUGGAAUUCCCGGUGUAAAGGUGGAAUGUGUAAAUAUCAAUUCAGAAUACCUAUGGCGAAUGCUGGUCUCUGUGCCGAUACAGACGCUGAGGAGUGAAAUCU
rnacentral:rRNA from 1 species